UUAUUAUUUCACAUUGCCAUACAUUUCAUUUGUUACUGUUGUUAUUGUUUUGUUUUUGUUUUAAAACUGUCAUGGUCAAACAAGUACAGAAGACCCAUCCCCAGGCUUUACUCAUUCAUCACAGUUCCAGACUACAUUUCCCAGAAUUCAAGCUGGCCAGUGAGCUCUGCCCAUACCCCCAGUCUGUUUUGACAGUAAAAGCGCCAACAGCUUAGGACAGCAAGACCCCUGUAAUACACACACAAACACACAGACACUCACUCGGUUACACACACUAACACUCACACACACAAACCCGUAAGCACCACAUUACUGAAUCCAUCUGACUUGAAGAGGCAUUGAGGAAAUAACUGUCUUAACACAUACACUCAUACAGAAACCCUCUCUCUCUCACACACACACACACACACACACACACACACACACACAUUAAUACAGACACAUACACACACAUUAAUACAGACACACACACACACUCACACACACCUGAAUGGCUGCCCUGGACCUGCAGCGUGGUGUGUGGGUGGGGGAGAGGCCUGAGUUUGACUCAGAGAUGCUGGAGUGGGAGGAACAAUUGCAGGACAUGCAGCGCAAGAUAGAAGAGCUCUACAAUGAAGUGGUUGCUCGCAGAGGAGGAAAUGAAGGUGGCCUGCAGAAGCAGCCAAAUGAUAUCACCCUGCUACCUGUUGCCAACAAGGACUCAGGGCGCUACAACACCAGUUGCCACAGCAAAAGCAAUGGCGAGCACCCGGUUGGCACGGACCUGCCAGCUUCCCUUGGCAAAGGCUGUGGCUAUCAGCUCAAUAAUGGCUAUGGCUAUGCCGAUGGUUACCCAGGCAACGCGGGGAUGGAACCCGCCCUGGAGAUUCUGCAGGGAUACCUGGGGCAUGGAAAGAGCCAGAAGAACUCAAGCACUGCCAAAACAAAACAGAAGAGUGGUCACCAUCCUGAGUCUCAGAGGAUGGGUUCAGGCUGGCCAGUAGGCAGAAGUGAGGAGUUUGAGAACCGGAGGAACCAAUCAGUGUACUGCGAGAACCCUCAGGGAGUGGACUACUGUGACCAGCGUGCGACUCCAAGAGCCAAGCCCCCCGUGCGUCACCGCGACAGCUCCCCCCUGGCGCACGCCCAGCAGCGGCCCUCGCUGUCCGACAGGAAGUCCGCCCCCCUGGACAGGAAGCAGGGCAGCCCAUCGGUCCUGCGUAAGUUUGGCGCCAUGCUUCAGGAGAACGAGGGCAAGCUGCUGACGGACGCGGGCGUGGUGGCGCCCUCCCCUCCCCCAUCUGUAGCCAACUCCUCCCCGCUCAGCCCCCGCCGCUCACACACACGCACACCCUCACACUCACACACACACACACACACACACACACCCUCGCACGCACACACACACGCACGCUCCUCAGACCCCAGUCCCACCCCCCCCAUGCACUCCUCACCCAAAGUGACCCCUGCCCAGGGGCUACACCGAGGGGGGCAUUUGGGGGAGAGGAGGGACCGCGAUUCCCCCAGUGGCAGGGCGGGAGUGCAGGGGGGCGACCCCACAGCUAAUUACUGGAUGGUGGAGCACAUCCUAAACGGACCAAAUGUGGGCCACCACAGCAGCGGGGGUUUCUAUGGAAACGGAAACGGCCAGGAGGAGAGCAGUCUGGUGGAGCUCCUGAACACACUGGGCAUUCAGCAGCAGCAGCAGCAGCAGCAGCAGCAGCCUGCCAGCAGAGUCUCACACACACCACCGGCAAGUUGAACAUCACUGUUUCUAUUUCAUGCACACACACACACACACAGACACACACACACACACACACACACACACACACACACACACAAACACACACACUUUUUUCAGUGCUUUUACCCCAAGUGUUUCAUGAUAAAGAUAAUUAAUGAUUAACUUAGCACUUGCUUUUCUUGCAGUAGUCCGUGCACAUACAGAGACACAUACACAUACUCACACACGCACGCAUGCAUGCACGCACGCACGCACACACACACGCAGACACACACACACACACACGCACACUGUUGCUACCAAUAAUGGAUGAAUAAUUUACUGCAAGCAUUAAUAACCCACGAUACUUUGCAGGUGAGCCGUGAGUCCUCUCCAGCACCUGCGAGGCGGAGCUUCUCCCGUCCCGCCCGGCCAGCUCAUCAGCGCCCUCCUUCCAGAUGGGCCAGCCAGUCAGGCCACACCCACCCACAGGUCCCCAGCCACUCAGGUCCCAUGAGCCGCCCCCCAAGUCCCGCCCGGAAAGCCAGGCCAGCCAAUCAGAGCUUCAGCUCCUACUCCCGGCACACAGAAACGGUCAUUAUGUGACCAAUUAGUGCUGGGCGAUCACUGAAAGACAUUAGCAUUCAUAAGUGCUCUGGUGAAACGGAGAUAAAAGACUAUAAAAACACUUCUGUCAACCUGCCUUAAAUUCUUGACGUUAGUGGGGGACGGGUCACAGCCCUCUCCCCCCACUAGAGGCCAUAGAGUCAGAAUGACUUCAUGUGUGUUUGCAAAGGGAAUCCCAGACGUCUCUGGACUCAUAGUGUUUCAGCAGCACUGAGAGUAAAAUGCCACUUCAAACCCUGUCUACAUCCCUCUCUUUUUCUGUAUUUUAUUUUUGUACCAUGACAUUUUGUAUGUGCUGAGGACUUUUAACUGAUGCACUAUCGUCCCGUCACUUUACUUUCCUCUCGCCUCCGCCAACCAGAAGUGCACCGCCAUUCUCUCAUACAGAUCUCAUAAACCCAACACGAGCAGCACACACAGAAAUACACAACAGUGGGCAUUCACAGAAUCCCAAGCCUCUCUCGAUCCUUGUGCAUGACUGCCCACGUAUGUUCGACUUGUGUGUACUUUAUUGAUUUUUAUUUUUUUUUGCGUGCAGAGUUUGACAAAAGCCCUACAUCUAAAAGGCUCUGUUCUGUGCGCUUUUGUGAAGACCGUAUGUGUAUCUGUUGCACUUAAGUGAGAUGCAUGGGUGUGAUGCCUAGCCCUUAUCUCUCUUUCUCUGUGUGUGUGAAAACAGUGUAAAACUGCAUAAAUAAACAAAGCUGUUAACUGCA
ensembl:lncRNA